AACGAACGCUGGCGGCAUGCCUAACACAUGCAAGUCGAACGAGACCUUCGGGUCUAGUGGCGCACGGGUGCGUAACGCGUGGGAACCUGCCCUUAGGUUCGGAAUAACUCCCCGAAAGGGGUGCUAAUACAGGAUAAUGUCUUCGGACCAAAGAUUUAUCGCCUUUGGGUGGGCCCGGGUUGGAUUAGCUAGUUGGUAGGGUAAAAGCCUACCAAGGCGACGAUCCAUAGCUGGUCGGAGAGGAUGAUCAGCCACACUGGGACUGAGACACGGCCCAGACUCCUACGGGAGGCAGCAGUGGGGAAUAUUGGACAAUGGGCGAAAGCCUGAUCCAGCAAUGCCGCGUGAGUGAUGAAGGCCUUAGGGUUGUAAAGCUCUUUUACCCGGGAUGAUAAUGACAGUACCGGGAGAAUAAGCUCCGGCUAACUCCGUG
rnacentral:rRNA from 1 species